rnacentral:rRNA from 1 species
GUAGGGAAUCUUCCGCAAUGGACGAAAGUCUGACGGAGCGACGCCGCGUGAAUGAUGAAGGUCUUAGGAUCGUAAAAUUCUGUUGUUAGGGAUGAACAAGUGUGAGAGUAACUGCUCACACCUUGACAGUACUUAACCAGAAAGCCCCGGCUAACUACGUGCCAGCAGCCGCGGUAAUACGUAGGGGGCAAGCGUUGUCCGGAAUUAUUGGGCGUAAAGGGUACGCAGGCGGUUCUUUAAGUCUGAUGUGAAAUCUCAUAGCUUAACUGUGAGCGGUCAUUGGAAACUGGGGAACUUGAGUAUAGAAGAGAAGAGUGGAAUUCCAAGUGUAGCGGUGAAAUGCGUAGAUAUUUGGAGGAACACCAGUGGCGAAGGCGACUCUUUGGUCUAUUACUGACGCUGAGGUACGAAAGCGUGGGGAGCAAACAGGAUUAGAUACCCUGGUAGUCC